rnacentral:rRNA from 1 species
CCUACGGGAGGCAGCAGUGAGGAAUAUUGAGCAAUGGGCGCAAGCCUGACUCAGCAACGCCGCGUGGGCGAUGAAGGCCUUCGGGUUGUAAAGCCCUUUUCUGGGGGACGAGGAAGGACGGUACCCCAGGAAUAAGUCACGGCUAACUACGUGCCAGCAGCCGCGGUAACACGUAGGUGGCGAGCGUUAUCCGGAUUCACUGGGCGUAAAGCGCGUGCAGGCGGUUCCGUAAGUCGGACGUGAAAGCUCCGGGCUUAACUGGGAGAGGCCGUUCGAGACUGCGGGACUUGAGGUCGGGAGAGGGACGUGGAAUUCCCGGUGUAGGGGUGGAAUGCGUAGAGAUCGGGAGGAACACCAGUGGCGAAGGCAGCCCCCGGGGUUGGCACUGACGCGCAUGCACGAAAGCGUGGGGAGCAAACAGGAUUAGAUACCCGGGUAGU